rnacentral:rRNA from 1 species
AGACCCGAAACCCGGUGAUCUAGCCAUGGGCAGGUUGAAGGUUGGGUAACACUAACUGGAGGACCGAACCGACUAAUGUUGAAAAAUUAGCGGAUGACCUGUGGCUGGGGGUGAAAGGCCAAUCAAACCGGGAGAUAGCUGGUUCUCCCCGAAAGCUAUUUAGGUAGCGCCUCGUGAAUUCAUCUCCGGGGGUAGAGCACUGUUUCGGCCAGGGGGCCAUCCCGGCUUACCAAUCCGAUGCAAACUGCGAAUACCGGAGAAUGUUAUCACGGGAGACACACGGCGGGUGCUAACGUCCGUCGUGAAGAGGGAAACAACCCAGACCGCCAGCUAAGGUCCCAAAGUCAUGGUUAAGUGGGAAACGAUGUGGGAAGGCCCAGACAGCCAGGAUGUUGGCUUAGAAGCAGCCAUCAUUUAAAGAAAGCGUAAUAGCUCACUGGUCGAGUCGGCCUGCGCGGAAGAUGUAACGGGGCUAAACCAUGCACCGAAGCUGCGGCAGCGACACUGAUGUGUUGUUGGGUAGGGGAGCGUUCUGUAAGCCGUUGAAGGUGGCCUGUGAGGGUUGCUGGAGGUAUCAGAAGUGCGAAUGCUGACAUAAGUAACGAUAAAGCGGGUGAAAAGCCCGCUCGCCGGAAGACCAAGGGUUCCUGUCCAACGUUAAUCGGGGCAGGGUGAGUCGACCCCUAAGGCGAGGCCGAAAGGCGUAGUCGAUGGGAAACGGGUUAAUAUUCCCGUACUUGGUGUUACUGCGAAGGGGGGACGGAGAAGGCUAUGUUGGCCGGGCGACGGUUGUCCCGGUUUAAGCGUGUAGGUGUGUGUUCCAGGUAAAUCCGGUUCACUUUAACACUGAGGCGUGACGACGAGGCACCACGGUGCUGAAGCAACAAAUGCCCUGCUUCCAGGAAAAGCCUCUAAGCCUCAGGUAACAUCAAAUCGUACCCCAAACCGACACAGGUGGUCAGGUAGAGAAUACCAAGGCGCUUGAGAGAACUCGGGUGAAGGAACUAGGCAAAAUGGUGCCGUAACUUCGGGAGAAGGCACGCUGACACGUAGGUGAAGUGGUUUACCCAUGGAGCUGAAGUCAGUCGAAGAUACCAGCUGGCUGCAACUGUUUAUUAAAAACACAGCACUGUGCAAACACGAAAGUGGACGUAUACGGUGUGACGCCUGCCCGGUGCCGGAAGGUUAAUUGAUGGGGUCAGCGCAAGCGAAGCUCCUGAUCGAAGCCCCGGUAAACGGCGGCCGUAACUAUAACGGUCCUAAGGUAGCGAAAUUCCUUGUCGGGUAAGUUCCGACCUGCACGAAUGGCGUAAUGAUGGCCAGGCUGUCUCCACCCGGGACUCAGUGAAAUUGAACUCGCUGUGAAGAUGCAGUGUACCCGCGGCAAGACGGAAAGACCCCGUGAACCUUUACUAUAGCUUGACACUGAACACUGGUCCUUGAUGUGCAGGAUAGGUGGGAGGCUUUGAAGUGUGGACGCCAGUCUGCAUGGAGCCAUCCUUGAAAUACCACCCUUUAAUGG